UGGGGAAUAUUGGACAAUGGGCGCAAGCCUGAUCCAGCCAUGCCGCGUGAGUGAUGAAGGCCCUAGGGUUGUAAAGCUCUUUCACCGGUGAAGAUAAUGACGGUAACCGGAGAAGAAGCCCCGGCUAACUUCGUGCCAGCAGCCGCGGUAAUACGAAGGGGGCUAGCGUUGUUCGGAUUUACUGGGCGUAAAGCGCACGUAGGCGGACUUUUAAGUCAGGGGUGAAAUCCCGGGGCUCAACCCCGGAACUGCCUUUGAUACUGGAAGUCUUGAGUAUGGUAGAGGUGAGUGGAAUUCCGAGUGUAGAGGUGAAAUUCGUAGAUAUUAGGAGGAAUACCGGUGGCGAAGGCGACUUUCUGGACUUUUACUGACGCUCAGGUACGAAAGCGUGGGGAGCAAACAGG
rnacentral:rRNA from 1 species